ACCAUGUAUUACUUAUAGGAGAUGGCCGGUUGGUUUACAUGCAAUUGGUAUGUUUAUUAUUUAUGAAACUAAAUUUGUGAUUUUGUUGCUGAGAGGGUACGGCGCUGGUAUGUUGAAUCAGCAAAAUCAGUAACACAUGAGAGCAAGAGAUACAGUCAGGGAGAGUCUCUUUUGUUGAAUUGGUUGCAGUGACUAAUAUGUCCUCUGAAUAUGAAAUGACUUUGGUGGAUAUAAAUCUUCUUUUAAGUACUACCAAAGGAAUGAAAGUUUUAGACCAACAACUAAGUCUUUGGCACUAUGAGAUUUGUUCAGAAAGUCAAGCUUGCUAAUCUCCUAGUUCUGCUUCUUCCUUCUCUAAUUCUGAGUUCCUAGUUUCUCAUAAUUUUUCACUUUUACAGGUAUAAGAAGGUUAAGCUGGACAAUGGUCUCACAGUUCAGGUACCAUCUUACGUGUUAGCUGGGAGAAGAUAAUUAUCAAUACUGCCGAUAAUUCUUUCAUAAGCAGGGCUUAAUCUGGGCCCUUUUGAAUGCUCUGGAGUU